rnacentral:antisense_RNA from 1 species
AAUAACCAAAUAUAACACUUGGGCUAAGGGUCAAGUUGGUAAUUUUUCUUACAACUCCCCCUCCCGGAGCCCAGGUAUCAUAUACACCUCCAAAAUAAAGGCACCUAUACCUGACAAGAUUAAGUGAAUACCCAAAAUUGUGGUCAUUUUAUUUCUAUCUUUCCA